UACGUAGGGGGCAAGCGUUGUCCGGAUUUAUUGGGCGUAAAGAGCGUGUAGGCGGCUUGGUAGGUCCGCUGUGAAAACUCGAGGCUCAACCUCGAGAUGUCGGCGGAAACCACUUGGCUAGAGUCCGGAAGAGGAGAGUGGAAUUCCCGGUGUAGCGGUGAAAUGCGCAGAUAUCAGGAAGAACACCAACGGCGAAGGCAGCUCGCUGGGACGGAACUGACGCUAAGGCGCGAAAGCGUGGGGAGCGAACAGG
rnacentral:rRNA from 1 species